GCAAGCGUAAUCGGAAUUACUGGGCGUAAAGCGCACGUAGGUGGUUUGUUAAGUCAGAUGUGAAAUCCCCGAGCUCAACUUGGGAACUGCAUUCGAAACUGGCAAGCUAGAGUAUGGUAGAGGGUGGUAGAAUUUCAGGUGUAGCGGUGAAAUGCGUAGAUAUAGAAGGAACACCAGUGGCGAAGGCGACCCCUGGACAAAGACUGACACUCAGGUGCGAAAGCGUGGGGAGCAA
rnacentral:rRNA from 1 species